rnacentral:rRNA from 1 species
AGUGAACGCUGGCGGUAGGCCUAACACAUGCAAGUCGAACGGCAGCACAGGAGAGCUUGCUCUCUGGGUGGCGAGUGGCGGACGGGUGAGGAAUACAUCGGAAUCUACCUUUUUCGUGGGGGAUAACGUAGGGAAACUUACGCUAAUACCGCAUAAGACCUUCGGGUGAAAGCAGGGGACCUUCGGGCCUUGCGCGGAUAGAUGAGCCGAUGUCGGAUUAGCUUGUGGCGGGGUAAAAGCCCACCAAGGCGACGAUCCGUAGCUGGUCUGAGAGGAUGAUCAGCCACACUGGAACUGAGACACGGUCCAGACUCCUACGGGAGGCAGCAGUGGGGAAUAUUGGACAAUGGGGCGCAAGCCUGAUCCAGCCAUACCGCGUGAGUGAAGAAGGCCUUCGGGUUGUAAAGCUCUUUCGGCUGGGAAGAAAUCGCAUCUCCUAAUACGGGGUGUGGAUGACGGUACCAGCAUAAGAAGCACCGGCUAACUACGUGCC